AGCAGCAUCAGCUAAUUAAGCUUUCGGGCCCAUACCCCGAACAUGUUGGUUAAAGUCCUUCUCCUGUUA
rnacentral:tRNA from 1 species